UGCAUUUUACCUAGAACUACAAACAAAAAUGACUGGGCUAUAAUGACCAGUAAGCUACCCUGCACGUAUGUAGCUUUACAUGCUCUUACUCAUCCUUGAUAUAUGGCUAGUGCUUAUAACUUAGCUCUGCCCAGAGUGCAAAGUCCAUCCAGAUUUUCAAUUAGUCAGCUUAAGUCAUUCCUCUCUAUCCGCCAACUAAAGGGUCAACAACAGUAGAUUUAGAUUUCAAGACUUUGACCUCUAUUCC
rnacentral:lncRNA from 1 species